rnacentral:pre_miRNA from 1 species
UGAUGAUGAUGAUGGUGACGACGACGAUGAUGAUGAUGAUAUUGAUGAUGAUGAUGAUGAACAUCAUCGUCAUCGUCGUCGUCAGCAACUUUU